AGUGACAGGACGACCGGGGACAGCGACAGGGGCCCUGUGAGUAUAGGGGCAACACCCAGAGCUGUGGCCCAAAGAUGGGCAGAUCUGGAGGGGCUAACGCGGGCGGAAACCGUCCGUACCAGUCGCCGCCGCCACAGCCGCCUCCAGCGGUCCCAGGCCCGUACUCUUCCCGUCUUCAAAAUGGCGGCGCGACGGCAGAGGGAGUAGCGCUGACGCUGGCAGUGACCAGACUGAAGAAGUUGCUUUCGAGCGCAUGGAUGGGAAUGAUCCUCGAGCCGAUGCUGCGCACGCGCACGGGAGGCCCACGUAGCACCGCCCUUUCAUUGGCUAGUCCACCGCCCCCACGUACGAGGAGGAAAGGUGAGGUGUGGCUAAGGACUUGUGGGCUGGAGGUCAAGGCUCCAGAGCUGCGUUCGGCACUCAUUUAAUUUCGAUCAUUAACUCACCGAUGUAUUUGAAAGCCUCCUCUUGCCCCAAGACUUUAUUGCUCAAAGGAGGCUCUAUCCUACAAGAGUGUUUAUCUACCCAACAGCUGGGCUGGGGGAGUAGUAGUGUUUCCAUAGCAUAAACGAGGACAGUGUGAUUCAGAGAGGCUGAGUAAACUGCCUGAUGCCACACAGCUACAUGCAGUGAUGAGUAUGAGUUUCAAACUUGGAUUUGUCUGGCUCCAAAAUCUCUGUCUUCCAUGCCAGUAAAACAAAGGAGGAGAAGAACAAGAGAUGGUACGCCUAGAUGGCCAGGUGAAGAUGGAGCACUGCCAAGCAAGCCCCAAGGAAAUGUGCAGCCUCCACAGGAUGUUUUAUUACUGGCUUCUGAGGAAGUGGUUAUCUUCCGUCCACAGACUUGGAACUGUGCAUCUCUGCCGAAUGUAUAUCUCAGUCUUGGCCACUCCCUGGAAUCUAACUCAUGGACCAAACUGCCAUCUUAACAUCUCAUUUAAGUUUCUUCUUGACCCUCUUGUAAUUUUGUACAGUCAUCACUACAUUGCUCACAAGAAUGACUCUUACCCUCAUCCAGGAGAUCACUGGGGAUCCUCUGCAUCAUUCACACGAGAAGAUGGUAGGUUGGAGCUUGGAACAAUGUUUGGAGGACUUUGCCUCCCCUUGGAAGCUAAAGCCCUGGCCGAUCUGAAGAAAGCCAAAGCCAUUCCCAGUUUUACUUUGCUAUUAGGAGAUAGAAAAAACCUUUAA
rnacentral:lncRNA from 1 species